rnacentral:lncRNA from 1 species
CCGAAACUUUUUCACCUGAGCUUUGCAGCCUUGGUGUGACACGUAUUUAAAGUACUUGCAAUCCUUUCCUAGUAGAACUCCAGCCAGCAGAGCUUUUUCAUAUGAAAGGCUUUCAUUUUCCUGCCAAUCCCUCUUGGCUAAGUAGCGGCUAAAAUGGAAGGCUGGCCACCAGUCCUUUCUGGAGUUCCACUCCUGCUUAAUCCAGUCGAGAUGCUUCUCAGAAAUUACAAUUUGUUUCACCUGUCUGGCC